AGUGAACGCUGGCGGUAGGCCUAACACAUGCAAGUCGAACGGCAGCACAGUAAGAGCUUGCUCUUACGGGUGGCGAGUGGCGGACGGGUGAGGAAUACAUCGGAAUCUACUUUUUCGUGGAGGAUAACGCAGGGAAACUUACGCUAAUACCGCAUACGACCUACGGGUGAAAGCAGGGGAUCUUCGGACCUUGCGCGAUUGAAUGAGCCGAUGUCGGAUUAGCUAGUUGGCGGGGUAAAGGCCCACCAAGGCGACGAUCCGUAGCUGGUCUGAGAGGAUGAUCAGCCACACUGGAACUGAGACACGGUCCAGACUCCUACGGGAGGCAGCAGUGGGGAAUAUUGGACAAUGGGCGCAAGCCUGAUCCAGCCAUACCGCGUGGGUGAAGAAGGCCUUCGGGUUGUAAAGCCCUUUUGUUGGGAAAGAAAAGCAGCAGGUUAAUACCCCGCUGUUCUGACGGUACCCAAAGAAUAAGCACCGGCUAACUUCGUG
rnacentral:rRNA from 1 species